rnacentral:tRNA from 1 species
AAAUAAGAAACGAUAAAUCGUAUUUAGUUUCGACCUAAAAUUUUGGUGACAUCACCCUUAUUUG